rnacentral:rRNA from 1 species
GACGAACGCUGGCGGCGUGCUUAACACAUGCAAGUCGAACGGAAAGGCCCUGCUUUUGUGGGGUGCUCGAGUGGCGAACGGGUGAGUAACACGUGAGUAACCUGCCCUUGACUUUGGGAUAACUUCAGGAAACUGGGGCUAAUACCGGAUAGGAGCUCCUGCGGCAUGGUGGGGGUUGGAAAGUUUCGGCGGUUGGGGAUGGACUCGCGGCUUAUCAGCUUGUUGGUGGGGUAGUGGCUUACCAAGGCUUUGACGGGUAGCCGGCCUGAGAGGGUGACCGGCCCCAUUGGGACUGAGAUACGGCCCAGACUCCUACGGGAGGCAGCAGUGGGGAAUAUUGCACAAUGGGCGGAAGCCUGAUGCAGCAACGCCGCGUGCGGGAUGACGGCCUUCGGGUUGUAAACCGCUUUCGCCUGUGACGAAGCGUGAGUGACGGUAAUGGGUAAAGAAGCACCGGCUAACUACGUG